UACGGAGGGUGCGAGCGUUGCUCGGAAUUAUUGGGCGUAAAGCGUACGCAGGCGGCUCGGCAAGUCGAGUGUGAAAUCCCGGGGCUCAACUCCGGAACUGCAUUCGAUACUGUCGGGCUUGAGUGCGGGAGAGGGAAGCGGAAUUCCUGGUGUAGAGGUGAAAUUCGUAGAUAUCAGGAGGAACACCGGUGGCGAAAGCGGCUUCCUGGCCCGACACUGACGCUCAUGUACGAAAGCGUGGGGAGCAAACAGG
rnacentral:rRNA from 1 species